AGACACGGAUCCAAACACUGAGAUUAUUUUCUUUUUACGGACAAUCGGUUUGAGUCUGGAUUAAAAGGACAUUUAUUAGUUCAGACUUGUGAUGUGAGGAGGAGCCUGUGUGAGCGUACCCGCCUCGAUCCGCCAGGGCCCGCUGUUUAAAGGGCUCUCUCUCGCACUCGCACGGCGUGGAUGCCCUGGCCGCCUCCAGCAGAGAGCAGUGCGCGGUUGGAUGUGAGCGCUGCCGACCUGUCUCUACUUCCAGAUCGAAGAUGGCGGUCUCGGUGUUCCCCGGCGUGCGCCUCAUCUCCAUCGGAGACGCAAACGGAGACAUCCAGCGGCACUCGGAGCAGCAGCCCCUCCGGUUAGAAGUCAAAACAACACAGGACGCGGCCCUCAUCAAUCUCUCCAAUGGAGAGGAGGCCAGCGUGUUCAAAUGCUCCGUGUCCAGGGAGACGGAGUGCACGCGCGUGGGGAAGCAGUCGUUCAUCAUCACGCUGGGCUGUAACAGUGUGCUGCUGCAGUUCUCGUCGCCCGCAGACUUCCAGUCCUUCUACAACGUGCUGAAGAACUGCCGUGGACAUCUGAACGAGCGCUCCGUCUUCAGCGAGCGAACAGAGGAGUCCUCGGCUGUACAGUACUUCCAGUUUUAUGGCUACCUCUCCCAGCAACAGAACAUGAUGCAGGACUACGUUCGGACAGGGACGUACCAGCGGGCCAUCCUCCAGAACCACACAGACUUCAAGGACAAGGUGGUGCUGGACGUGGGCUGUGGUUCGGGGAUCCUGUCGUUCUUCGCGGCUCAGGCUGGAGCCAGGAAAGUGUAUGCAGUGGAGGCCAGCACCAUGGCCCAACACGCAGAGGUGUUGGUGAACAGUAACCGUCUGUCAGAGCGCGUGGUGGUGAUCCCGGGGAAGGUGGAGGAGGUGACUCUGCCGGAGCAGGUGGACAUCAUCAUCUCGGAGCCCAUGGGCUACAUGCUGUUCAACGAGCGCAUGCUGGAGAGCUACCUGCACGCCAAGAAGUUCCUCAAGCCCAACGGUAAAAUGUUCCCCACCAUCGGAGACGUGCACUUGGCCCCCUUCACAGACGAGCAGCUUUACAUGGAACAGUUCACCAAGGCCAACUUCUGGUACCAGCCGUCUUUCCACGGGGUCGACCUGUCUGCGCUUCGAGGAGCAGCGGUCGAUGAGUAUUUCAGACAGCCAAUAGUAGACACUUUCGAUAUCCGUAUUCUGAUGGCCAAAUCGGUCAAGUACACAGUGAACUUCCUGGAGGCCAAAGAAGAGGACCUGUACAGGAUAGAGAUCCCCUUUAAGUUCCACAUGAUGCACUCAGGCCUGGUGCACGGCCUGGCCUUCUGGUUCGACGUGGCGUUCAUGGGCUCAGUAAUGACCAUCUGGCUGUCCACGGCGCCCACUGAGCCUCUGACCCACUGGUACCAGGUGCGCUGUCUGCUGCAGUCCCCCCUCUUCACCAAGGCCGGAGACACGCUGUCCGGGACCGCCGUGCUGGUCGCCAACAAGAGACAAAGUUACGACAUCAGUAUAGUGGCCCAGGUGGACCAGACCGGAUCCAAGUCGAGUAACCUGCUGGACCUCAAGAACCCCUUCUUCAGGUACACGGGCACCACCCCCAACCCUCCUCCAGGCUCGCACUACACCUCCCCCUCAGAGAACAUGUGGAACACAGGAGCCUACAGCAUGGGCCAGGGCAUGGCUGGAUCAGGGAUGCCCACAGCCUACGACCUGAGCACGGUGAUCGGCAGCGGCACGCCGGCCUCCCACAACAACCUCAUCCCGCUGGGUACGAACUGCACUCCUCCAGGCUUCACUCCCGCUCAGGGCACAUGGUGUAGUGGGGAGCAAGUAGGAACAGAGGCCCAGAGAAAGCCCGCUGCCCAGCCCGAAAACAGUUAUGUCCACACCAACGGCCUCCUCUCCACACUCAAUGCAUGCUCUCUGUAGUCCACACACAAACACAAACGCACUGCACAGACACACGCAGGCCUGUCACGAUCACUUCCUCAAGUAAAUGUCCACGAGAAACGAUAACGUAAUAACCCAAAAGCUGAUUUAAACCACAAAAUGUACAACUAUCACUAUGGUAUUUACUGGUCUAUGUUAUAAUUUCUUCAUUCCAAACAGACCUGGAGUUGUGUUUUGUUUCAUUCACAAGUUUAACGCACAAACCCUGCAGAUUUAGUUCUUUUCUCAAACAGAAAACACUGUUCCACCUUGUGAUGUCAUGUGGUAAUAGGUUCUAAUCACACUUAUACCACAAACCAGGGAGACGUUUGGAAACAUGCGAUGACAAUUUCCGGCGGGUUCUGUUCACGUUAGUAAGUUUGGUAAAAUCUAGGAAACAUGAGAAAAUGUCCCAGUUUUCUUCAUCUACAUGUCAGUCGCCGCAUUUACAUGAGAGCUUUAAUUCCACAUAAAAAUAAUUUAAUUCAGAAUAAAAAUGUAUUCCGCUUUAAAAAGACCAUGUAAACACUUGAUUCCUAAUGAGCAUUAUUGUUCAGAAUUAAACUUAAUUCCGAUGUAAUUGGUUGGUUUAUUCCAAUUUUAAAGCCAAAUUCAUUUCUUCCUCGAUCAUGUAAACGUUUAUUCUUCUUAAAAAUAACUGCGGUCGUUGAGAGCACACUCGUUCGGUUGACAUUCUAGCGCAAUCCGGACGAUCCGGCUCACCCAGUCCUGGCUUCGGACUUUCAUCCACGUCUCUUUUGAUUUGUGAGCGGGAUGUGGGAGUGGGCUGAGGUAGAGCAGCCGUCGACUCAGUUUGUCUUCUUCCUCCCUUCUCCGACAGUCUUCCCUUCUCCUCCUCAGCCGACAGACGUAAAGCGUGAUGAGACAAUUCUCAAUCUGCUGCGCAAUUAUCAUCGGAACCACUGCGAAAAAAGUUUGGAUCGCGUUUGUGUCCGUGGCGUAACGACAAACCGAGAUGACGAAAAAGCCGGUCCAAUCAGAACCCUUCCCCACCCCCAGACGUCGAGCAGAAUUAAAUAAAGACGAUUUAACGUGUUUUCCAUGUAAACCUCAUUUCAGAAUUAUUAUUUCCAGGUAAAAUCGAAGGAGAAUAUUUUAAUUCAGAACUAUUAAUUUGGAAUUAAAAAAACAACUUGUAAACAUGGCCAGUGUAACGUUCCAUUAUGUUCGGCUGAUCAACAAUUAUGUCCAUACCUCAGUUUUCAUCUUUUCCCCACUGACACACAACUCCGAGCGCACUGGGUUCAUGCGAUUAGAGGAGAUGAGACGCCAAAUUCGAGAUGAUUCCCAACAGCACAUACGUAUGCAGUCCUCAUUUUACCGCUGAUCACGUUUAAUUCAAUGGGUUUUAUCCAUGGAUCUGUAAUAAAAACUGGAUAAUUCCCUCCUCCUCUGUCCGGGCUUGAGACCGACUAGUGGCCGCUCCAGGUACUGCAGCUCCUGGGAGCUUUGGGCCCAGAAAAAAUUCUCCCAUAGAACACAAAGCAUUUUUUGGGGAGUUCAUUCUGCCCGUGUUCAGCUGGGCACCGACAGCUCUCACAACAGAUUCUUUUCUAUUUUAACAACAUCAACGUUUAAAUCCUCAACACGACUAAAAGUUAGCUUUGUCAGACUUGGCCUAGCCCCACUCUGAGUCCGCUCUAGCUCCGCUCUCGCAGCUCUCACUCUGAUUGGUCCAAACUCUCCACGCCGUGCACGUUACAGACGUCACACGGAUGGAAGGAGCUCGCCCGGAUUGAGUGAUGAUAAUUAAGUAAUUCAAAUUGCUUUACCGAAUAAGAAAUACAUUAUAAAAUCACAACACAAACAAAUCAAAACAUAGAUCUUUCCGUCAGUCUGUCCCAGGGCAGCUGUGGCUACAAGAGUAGCUUACCACCACCGGGUCUGGAGUGAAUGAAUAAAGAUGUCUUUGAGUGUCCAAAAAAGCGCUGUAUAAAACUGAUGCAUUAUUAUUAUUAUUAAUAAAUAAUCAUCAUAAAAUUAAAAAGAGAGAGACAUUAAAUUAGAGAGAAGAGUGCGGAAUGAAAAAUGAAAACCUCGAUGAAACGAACCCAGUCAUUGAGGACGUAAAUGUGAAAGAGAAAAUUAUUUUUGGGCCCAUGCGCCAAUGAGCACAGACCACUGAAAACAACACAACGCCAUUUUGAGUCGCCAUCAACUUCAGAUUUUAUUAUAGUUCUACGGUUUUAUCGCAGUCGGUCGGCGAGCUCAGUGUCGGGAACUACACCGGAAGUUGUCAUCGCAUGUUUCCAAACGUCGAAUUAAUUUAUGCCUCGAUCAUGUAAACAUUUAUUCUUCUUAAAAAUAAUUCCGGUCGUUCAGGGCGUGGUCGUUGGGUCGCCCUUCUGAUACGAUCCGGACGACUAAUAAAAAAAAUAGAGAGAGACAUUAAAUUAGAGAGAAGAGUGUGGAAUGAAAAAUUAAAACCUUUCAGUCAUUGAGAGAAAUUUAUUUUUGGGCCCAUGCGCCAUUGAGCACCAUCUUGGGUUCAACUUCAGAUUUUAUUGUAGUUCUGUGGUUUUAUGUCGGGAACGAAGUCGUCAUCGCAUGUUUCCAAACUUUUUCCACGAGUCGAGUCUGUACAGGAAGUGCUCCACCUACGCUUUCACUCGAAUAAUUUGGAUGAUUUCAGCUCUGGAUUUCCCAAUCUUUACUGAACAAAAAGGUCAAAAGGAUCUUUACUUUAACUUAAAAAACUACCACUACACGACAUCACAAAACGGAACAUAACAUUUUGAGCUUUGGAGAUGUAAACAGAGUAAUAAUAAAGCUUUACUCAAACACGUGAAGGAAACAAAACACAGCUCCAGGUCUGUUUGCGUAACAGAAGACCUUUAAACACAAUGAGCUGCAGUAAAUAAGAAGCACAAUGAAACACUUUAGUGCUUAGCGUCUGUAAUGAGUCAUACUUAUUCAACCUUGUGCAGCUCAAAUCUUUUAUAUAGCCAAAAAAAUAUAUAAAAAAUCACCAAAAAUGUUCCUGUUGUGCAUUGAAAAAGUGCAAUGACCAAAAAAAUCCUAAAAUAAAUCCAUAUUCUGUUCCGAUCGUGACAGGCCUAGACACACACGCCCUUGGUUCAACUGACUCCAGCUCACAGCAGGCAGCUCGAUUACACUGAAUUAUACGACUUUUUUUUUUUUUUUAGGUUUCGACACUAACUUGAAAGGCGCGUCACCUGCUUGGAAUGUUCCGCAGUACGGCAUUAAACUUAUACAUGUGCAUUUCUUAAUUAUAUGUGCUUUAAUUGCUCAAAAAUAUCUUGAAAAAUAUGUUUGUUUGGUGUUUUGUUGUUUUUUUGUUGUUUUUUUUACAAUGAACAGGCUCACCUCUCCACAGAGCUGACCUGUAACUCGUUCUCUUGUCUCCGUGGAGAUUCUUCUAAUGCCAUACUGUGGAACAUUCCGGGCGAAGCAGUAACAUUUCCAUAGGGGCAAGCAGGCUAUCAGGAUUUUCUUUUUCUUUUUUUUUCUUUUUUAUACAAAUUUCAAUAUUUUUCUGAACGUAAACAACACAGACUUUUCAUCAUUGCCGUUUAGCGUAAAAUUAUCCUCAAAUUUCUUUGUCCUAAGCUUUGCGUCUUCUCCAAACCGCUCGCUUCCAUUCCAUUCAAACCAUUCAAACCCAAACUCAUCACUGACUGAGUAGAAAUGACUGAAAACCUCAUUUUACCUGAUUUCUAUUGGUUCAUCCACUUUCAAAGGGCUCGUAUUACACUAUUUUCUGAUCUACAGUGUGUUCUAAUGUUGUUUCCUCAUCACAAACAGACCCGGAGUUGUGUUUUGUUUCGUUCGCACAUGUUUCACGCACAAACUCUAAGGACUAAACUAGGACUAAAACCAGGACUAAAACGAGGUCUAAACCAGGUCUAAACCAGGUCUAAACCAGGUCUAAACUAGGUCUAAACUAGGUCUAAACCAGGUCUAAACUAGGUCUAAACCAGGACUAAAACCAGGACUAAAACGAGGUCUAAACCAGGACUAAACCAGGACUAAACCAGGACUAAACCAGGACUAAAACCAGGACUAAAACCAGGACUAAAACCAGGACUAAACCAGGUCUAAACCAGGUCUAAACUAGGUCUAAACUAGGUCUAAACCAGGUCUAAACCAGGACUAAAAUGAGGUCUAAACCAGG